CUUGGGAGGCUAAGGCAUGAGAAUUGCUUGAAAGCAGGAGGUGGAGGUUGCAGUGAGCCAAGAUCCUGCCACCGCACUCCAGCCUGGGCAACAGAGUGAGACUGCCUCAAAACAAAACUGUCAACUCCAAAUUCUGUAUCUGGUGAAAUGUUCCUUCAGGAAUGAAGGGGUAAGACGUUCUUGGAUGAUGAAAAACUAACAUAAUAUGUUGAAUGGGUCUACCCUGUAGACCUUGAAUAAACCUACCCUAAUGGAAGGUCUUGAACCAGAAACGUUUAAAAAAAAAAAGUCUUGGAAUGUCAGGAAGAAUGACAGAAACAGCAAAAAAUGGGUAAAUACAAUAGACUUUUUCCUUCUUGUGUUUUCUAAAUUACUUGGUAGUGAAAGCAAAAUUAUAUAUUUAAGACAAUUAUCAAUAGAGUGGGGAGGGGAUGGACAAGAGAGUUAAGUUUUCUACAUUUCACUCAAAUUGGUAAAAUGCUGACAUCAACAGAUCUUUAUAUGGCAGUGAAGCAGUUCUGUAUCUCAACUGUCUUGGUAGGGUUACAGGAAGAUAAGAUGGCAUAAAAUGAUAUAUGCUGUGCAAAAAUCAAUUUCCUGUAGUUAUGUAAGAUGAAUCUGUACUGUCUUUUCAAUUCCCUGUAAGUCUAUAACUAGUGCAGAAUCAAAAGCUUUAAAAAGUGUAGGAUGACAGUGUUGAAUAUGCUGCUUUAAAAGGGACACACAGUUAUAGUGGCUUAGAU